rnacentral:rRNA from 1 species
CACGUAGGGGGCGAGCGUUGUCCGGAUUUAUUGGGCGUAAAGAGCUCGUAGGCGGCUCAGUAAGUCAGGGGUGAAAACUCCAGGCUCAACCUGGAGACGCCACCUGAUACUGCUGUGGCUAGAGUCCGGUAGGGGAGCGUGGAAUUCCUGGUGUAGCGGUGAAAUGCGCAGAUAUCAGGAGGAACACCAGUGGCGAAGGCGGUGCUCUGGGCCGGAACUGACGCUGAGGAGCGAAAGCGUGGGGAGCAAACAGG